GACGAACGCUGGCGGCGUGCUUAACACAUGCAAGUCGAACGAAGUGGCGAACGGGUGAGUAACGCGUAAUCAACCUGCCCUUCAGAGGGGGACAACAGUUGGAAACGACUGCUAAUACCGCAUACUGAAGGAGGGGAUUGCGUCUGAUUAGCUAGUGGGAGGGGUAACGGCCCACCAAGCCGAUGAUCAGUAGCGGGUCUGAGAGGAUGACCGGCCACAUUGGGACUGGGACACGGCCCAGCAUCCUACGGGAGGCAGCAGUGGGGAAUCUUCCGGAAUUGACGCAAGUCUGACGGAGGAACGCCGGGUGAGUGAUGACGGCCUUCGGGUGGUAAAGCUCUGUUAAGCGGGACGCGGUACCAGAAUAGAAAGCCACGGCUAACUACGUGCCAGCCGCCGCGGUAAUUC
rnacentral:rRNA from 1 species